rnacentral:rRNA from 1 species
UACGGAGGGUGCGAGCGUUGUCCGGAAUCACUGGGCGUAAAGGGCGCGUAGGCGGCCUGAUAAGUAGGGGGUGAAAUCCUGCGGCUUAACCGCAGGGCUGCCUUCUAAACUGUCAGGCUAGAGCACAGUAGAGGCAGGUGGAAUUCCCGGUGUAGCGGUGGAAUGCGUAGAGAUCGGGAAGAACAUCGGUGGCGAAGGCGCUCUACUGGACCACAACUGACACUCAGGGACGAAAGCUAGGGGAGCGAAUGGG